UUCUAAAAUGUGUAACAAUGGAAGUGUCAAUAAUGGAAGUGUUAACGAUGGAAAUGUUGAGUAACAAAGGAGGUGUUAAGAUAAAACGGCGUGCAAGAUUUAUUGGCGCAGAUAAGUAUUUUUGCGUUUUUGCGGGAAAUCGAACAUAUUUUUAGUCCCAUGUAAAAAUUCUCUAAUUAGUCUGGAAACGGGGGACCUAAUUCUUGCAUUUCGUGAAAACGGGUAAGAUUGGCUAUAAUAUAAUCUUAAUCUUAAAUGUUUUCGAAUAAUCGAAAAUGUUUUGGAAUAGUCGAGGACCGUUAUGUGUGGGUAGGGAGAUGGCUUUUGGAGACGUGUGACGCAUACGCUUCAGUUGAUUUUUCAUAAGUAAAAGUGUACGAAUAACAGAAAAAAGUAGAAAGUGAAAAGAGAAGUGUGAAAAGUAAAAAUAUACAAAAUAAUGCCAAAGCGUAAGAAAGAAUUUUUGCAGUCUCGAAUCAUAUCUCAAAGGUAAAAGAUGGCGCGGAGAAAUGAAACCACGGAAGAAAGAAAAGUACAUCUAACAUUGCUACGAGAAAAUUAUCAACGAAACAGAAAUAAUUAGACAGAAGAGCAACUUGAAAAUUAUAGGAAAACACAUCGAAUCAGAGAAAGAUUAUGUAGAGGAAAAGAAACAGUCUUAUAUAUUGCAUAUAAAUGGAUAAAAAAGACGGUGAUUUAAUACUCAAGCAUAAAAUCAUUGAAGAAACUGUACGCAAAGAAAAAGAAUGUCAAAAAAUUUAUACCAAUUAUACCGUAAAUCCGUAUAAAUUAGGAGAUAUUAUGGCAUCAAAAUUUUAUUCUAAAUACGAAUCUGUUUCUGUUCCCGAGGAUCAUAAAGAAGGGGAGCUAAUGUUGAAAAUGCCUCUGUAUUUGUUAAAGAUAUGCCAUUUUAAGAAAUAUGAGAUGUAUUUUCUCAAAUUUAAUUUUAUAUUUGGUAUAUAUGGAAUAUACAAAAUAUUUGGGCCUGCUUACUUGCGAUUUACUCUUAAUUUGGCACUUAGACAAUGCAGCGAGUUUAGAAGUUAUCAAACGUUCGAAGACAAUCCCUGCUAACAGAUUUCCAUAUCCUCUGACUGAAUCACAGCACAUGACGUGGAUAACUGAUGAAAUGAUACCGGUACCAAUAGACAAAAAUGACAUCAGACUCUAUCAUCCUAAGAAACGAAGCUCCAUUACAAAAUUCAUGGAUUACUAUUUUUCAUGUAAUAAAAACAAAAAUAAUUAAAGUGAAAAAUAAAUUAAUAAAAUUGAAGCACACCAAAAUUAUCUGUUAAAAUUAUCUAACAUUUUAAAACAUAU